AUUCUAAGCCUUACUUUACUCAGUUUUACGAUAGAGUAGCAAACUAAUAACCUCUAAAAUCCUUUCUAGUUUUGAUUUCUUUGGAUUAGCUUCUCAAGGAUACUUUCCAAUCACUUCAAGCAGCAGUGCUGUGUCUCAGGCUGAUAUUCACUCUUCUUUAUGAUCACCAAGCACCUCACCAAAGGCAGAGGAAAUGCUGACUUUACAUUGACACAGACUUCAGAGAAACUUGACUGUUUAGUCAACAGGUUUGCCAUAAUGUGCACAGACCAAUAUUAGCAGCAAAAUAAGAAAAAAAGGAAAUGUUAAAUAAUUUAUUAUUUUAUAUUUUUGACUGCUAUUCUAUGUCAUCUUCCUGGUAAACUAAAUAUUUCUUAUUUUAUUAUUCUUUUCAUGAUGGAAAAGGUACCCAUCUUGGCUUGUGUUAAAAAAAAAUGGUUCACAUGAUUUUGAAGUUUGAAGGUAAAUCUAGCAUCAGGCAUGAUUUUGUCUAGAGGUCAAAAAGAUAAUGUCCGAGUUUCUUCUCUUCAUUUCUUUAGCCUCAGUCUUUUUUAGUGUGUUUGACUCAUUCUUUAUAACUGCAUAUGAUAUCCUACAAGUGGCUGACUGCGGCCACAGAGGUGUUGGUGCUAUUUCUGGGCCAAGGUGUGUAUUGGAUGUGGUCCCACCACACUCCUUGCUCUCUUGCCCCUCCCUCUGCCUGGGUGAAGCUAAUAGAGAAGCCCUGAGGGAUGGUGAUACCACAAGCCGUCAAGAAACUCAGUUACUCAGUCAUCAAUGGAGGAAAACUUCAGGCUGACUAGCAACGCCUGCUUGAACGAUUAAGACAGCAGGAGGCCGGGUGUGGUGGCUCAUGCCUAUAAUCCCAGCAUGUUGGGAGGCCGAGGUGAGUGGAUCACCUGACAUCAGGAGUUCAAGACCAGCCUGACCAACAAGAUGACAAUUGAAUUGAAUUCACUAAAGCUGGUUUGAACAAAGACAUCCUUAACCCUGGCUGCACACUAGAAUAAUUUGAGGAGCUUUAGAAGCCACAGAUACCUGGAGUCCCACGCCAGAGUUGACGUAAGUGGAUGAAGUCACAGUCUAGACAUUGAAUUUUUAAAAUAUUCCUAAGUGAUCUGAAUGUGCAACCAGUGUUCAGAAACAUUGGUUUAGGCCAGCGGUUCUCAAAAUGUGAUUCUGCCAUCAGCAUCUUGAGCAUUACCUGGAAACUGAUUAGAAAUGCAAAGUCUCUGACUCCAGAACUGCUGAAUCAAAUAUCCAAAUAUGGUUGCUCAUCACAGUUAUCUGGGGAGAAUUUUGAAAAUAGGUACUCCUCAUCUUCACCAUCAGUUCCAGUUUCUGAUACAGAAAAUGUGGGCAAGGUCAGGAAAUGCCAUUCUUCUCCUCCACCUGCUUCUUCUUCCUCAAGAAUUCUAAAGAUUUGACAGUUAUGGGAGCCAUGUUGAAAAUAUAUAUUUUGAAAAGAGUUGUAAUUGAGGAAAUCUGAAUUUCAGUCCCGCCACUGUAGGUAACUGACCAAGAGACCUUGGACCAGGCACUUCUCCUGCCUCCCUUGAAUCAAAGCUUCUAUAUCAACCACUGCUGACUCCCACACUUCCAGGGAAGUUCCAAUGAACUUGAAUGAUGUUUGAAGCUUCAGAGCUCUAUGUAAAUGUGAAGUAUUGCUAUCAAGACAUCUUAGAAUGAAAGAUAAUAUUUUCUUCUUUACUUUUACUCCUUAGAAGACUAUUACCUACUAGUAUGUCCCUUUUAUUUCUUAUUUAAUAAAAAACCUACAGAAAGAUAAA